AAUUGGAAUGAUAGAAAUUUAAAUACUUUUUAAAGUAUCAAUUGGAGGGCAAGUCUGGUGCCAGCAGCCGCGGUAAUUCCAGCUCCAAUAGCGUAUAUUAAAAUUGUUGCAGUUAAAAAGCUCGUAGUUGAAUUUUUGCUAAAAAUAACCGGUCUGCUAUUAUUAC
rnacentral:rRNA from 1 species